AUACUUACCUGCUAGGAGAUACCAUGAUCACAUGUGGUUUACCCACACAGUGGCCUCAGCCAUUGCACUUUCGGUUGGUAAGACUCGCAUGAAUUUCCCAAAUGUGGAAUCUCAAUGCAAAGGGGCCAAUUUCUAGGUAGUGGGGACGUUGCCCGCCUCCCUG